AGGUCUCAUCAAUUUUAUUUAUUUAAUCACAUUCAAAUAAAUAAUGUCCUAUUACAACUCCUAGUCCAAAGUUAAUGAAAUUAGUAGCAUAUGAUAUCCCCACUAUUCGUUUUCAUAAAACAAAUCAAUAUCAAAACAUUUUCAAAAUAUUGGAGAUAUAUAUAACUACUAAUUGUAUUCAUUAUAUUUUAGUAGCGUAUGAUACUCCCACUAUUUGUUUUAAGAAAAACAAAUCAAUAUCAAAAACGAAUUUUUUCAAAUAUUGGAAGUAACUACUACUACUAAGGUUUUUGCAUUCCUUUGAAAUUGGACUUUAUAGUUAUCUUAGGCUCUUGGAUGACCAUGGACUUAUUAGGUUAUUGCAACAACGAGCCAACAUUGUUGAAUAUAAACUCGGGGAGGUUGUGUCAAUUUAAUUACGUGCUUUUCAAUCCAAUUAAAACAUCUUCAUUGAGCCAUUAGAAAUGAAAGACAAUCAUUCAUUGCUAAUUAGGGCAUUGGACCCAUUUAAUCUUUAAUCUCAUGUAAAAAAAAAACCUUCUUUUAGUUAUGUCUCCUUACCAAUAGUUAAAGAAACUCUAGUCUAGCACUAGUGGGAAUCAACUAACUAAAAGAGAUUAAGAAGUAAUAAGAAUUACAAACCGAUUUGUACAAAUUCCUAUAAAUUACACAUACUAAAAGGGGAGAGAUAGAUUAAUGUCAAACGUGACAAGGUCCAAUUAAACAGUAAUUAAAACACAUUCCCAAGGUUCAAACAAUUUGAUUUUAGCGCCUUAUCUCAUAGCUCAAUUAUCGUUUAAGGCAUAAGUCCAUAGUCACCCUUUUCUAACUACUUAAUCACAUUAAAUAAUCAAAAUGGAAUGCAACAUGAACAUUUAGAUUUAGUGCAUAUGGGCAUAAUAGUAUUAUGAGUUUAAACAACUAACAAAAUUAAAAUCAAAUAUUUUAACUUUCUAGUUAGUAGGGGCCUAAAUGCAAAUAAGAAAAAAUUAGGGGUCAAACCGUAAAUACUCAAAAGUAUAAAAUAUAUUUUUCCAAAUAACAAAAAACCCCACAAGUGGAUAAAUCCACUAUGGUGGCCAGCCACAUUAAGGGGAGAUGGGAAGUCUCACCCAUCUUGCUUUAAUUCAAUGCAAAGUAGAAAAAAUCCAAAUUUGCUUGUCACUUGGUUUUGGCAUUAAAACUUAGGUGAAAAUGGUUGAUGGAAAUUUCCUAGUCAAGUCUAGGAUUGAAUAAAUUUUUGGGAAGGCUAUGGAUGAUAAGUUUAUCAUCCAAAACCAUAAAACAAUUUAUGAAAACCAAAUAAAACCAUUUUCACCAAAAACAAAACAUGAACACCAAGAACAAAACCAUGAACACAUUUUCAAGAUUUGUGUAUUCUUGGUGAUUUUUCAAACCCAAAAACUAAAGUGACAAGGGCUCUACUUUCUAGCUUUAAAAUGAUGUGUGAGUGUCUUACAACAAAACACAAACACAUGCCCAAAAAACCCCCUUAAUGCCGUGCCUACCACAAGGAACAAAACCCAAAUUUUGUUCACAACUUACUCUUCAUUCAUGCAUCCAAAACACCUUUUUACAUGCAUAUCUUUUUCAACUCUUGAUUUAUAUUUUUCAACCAUUGAAAAACAAAAGAUAAACAUACUUUAAAUGAAGAAAUAAUAUGUCAAACUAGUUCAAAACUCAAUUUUCAUUCAUGCAUACAAAACAACUUUUGCAUACAUAUCUUUCUCAACUAUUGACUAACAUUUUUCAACUA
rnacentral:lncRNA from 1 species